rnacentral:lncRNA from 1 species
AUGGGAAUCACAUCUUCACAGGACUGUGUGAGCUCCCAGGAGCAGAGAAUUGUCCCAGAUGAUAUUUGGUGGCACAGAGAAACCAACAUGCACCUCAAAGUCUCUGGAAGGGCUCCCACUCACCAGCCCUGCUUCCCACAGAUGAGAACAUCGAGUCCUUGGCAUCCUCCCUUUCUCUUGGUUUUUUUUUUUUUUUUACAAUUUUUCAUUUUUAAAACAAACAAUUAUUUGUCACAAGGGAAAGAUCUGAUCUUUGAAGAAGGGAGAGGUAAUGCCCAGUCUAGAGCCCAUGGGCUGAGGGUGAUUCCCUAUUUAGCCAGAGGUGAAGAACCUGUAGGUCUGCACGGAAUAGGAGAUUUCUGACAUGUCCCCUAAAACCAUCACAGAAUGGUUUGUGUUGGAAAGGACCUAAAAGCUCAUCCAGUUCCACUCCCUGCCAUGGCAAGGACACCUUCCACUAUCCCAGGCUGCUCCAAGCUCUGUCCAGCCUGGCCUUGGACACUUCCAGGGAUCCAGUGACAACCACAGAUUCUCUGGGAAACUUUUCCCAGGUCCUCAGCACCUCACAGAGAAGCCUUUAUUCCUAAUAUCCAAUCUAAACGUAUUCUCUCUCAGUUUGAAGCCAUUCCCCCUGUGCUGUCUCUCCAUGGUUCCUGCAGCUCCUCCAGGCACGGGGAGGCCACAAUGAGUUCACUCUGGAGGUUUUCUCCUCCAGGCUGAACAAUCCCAGCCCUCGCAGCCUGUCCUGGGUGCCACUUGGGGAGCAGCAGCUGCUCUGUGCCGGUGACACCGGGUGACACCAGCGGCUGGGGGGACACCCCUGAUCACAGGACACCACAGGGACUGAUCUGUCCCUUCAGGGGAGGGAACAAGGGAAAUGAAGUGAUGGAGGGCUAUAAUUAUAUAAAAUUGACAUUGCUUCACUAAGUUGGUUGUUUAAUCUUUCUUUAUGCCGAAACAUGAGUCCCUCUCAACAGAACAGGUUUGUUCUCAUUCCUUCUCCAAUUUCCUGCUUCUGGAGGCCCACAAAGCCCUGCUGAUUCAUUCAUCUCACAUUCCCAAGAGCCCCGUGUUUCUUCUGGAAGUGCAGCAAUCCUUGCCCUCUCCCCCUCAUGAGCACCUUCCCAAACCUCCUCAUGCUUUUUCAUUUGCCAAAAUUCACUGGGGUAAAGCUGCUGCCCAAGUGGGUGGCCAAGGCACCGAGGGGAAGGAUGUUCCUCAUCCUCCCUCACAGGGUGCACCAUGAGCUGGAAGGAAAAGCAGCUCCAAGAGGGAGGGUUCCUCCUGUCUGAAGGAAUUAAUUAAGGAAUUUUGCAGCCUGAGGCCAGGACUGGGACAUAAUGGCAGAGUGGGAGCUACAAGU